UUCCAGAAACAAAUUCCUUUCAUCAGCUCCCUGUAAAAAAGCAUGAAGUUCAUGAGAACUCUGUAUAUAUGUAUAUACAUGUGUGUUAUCUUUUGAGAAUAGCAGGACAGAAAAUAGUAAACUGGUAUACAUCUCUUUCUAUGUCUCUCUCUCCCCUCCCCCUCUUGUUUCAGAACCUCAGCCACUACAUGGUACAGAUUGCGUGCCUGCUCAUCUAAAGAAGCUAAUCCACCUUUCGUAGUGUAUGCACUCACGCAAUACAAAAUAAGCAUGACUAAGCGCUAGAAACAAGGAAAGAAUAAGUAUAUACUUUGUUCUAAUAAUCCCAUUUAUAAGAAUUCUAUUGUUAUCACUACUGAGAGAACUAAUGAAUAAGAUAAUGUCAAUUAAUGUAACUCCUACUAAAAUGCCAAGACCUAAGUUGCUGUAAAGAGAGUCACUUUGUCAACCAUAAAUCUGGGAAAGCAAAGAGUCUUUGAAGACAUUCACCACAUGAAAU